rnacentral:rRNA from 1 species
CCAGCAGCCGCGGUAAUUCCAGCUCCAAUAGCGUAUAUUAAAGUUGUUGCAGUUAAAAAGCUCGUAGUUGGAUUUCUGAGAGAUUGACAAAGUCCGCCGUGUGCGUGUGCUGCGUCGAUCUCUCAUCCUUCUGUUAACGUUUCUUGGUAUUCAGUUACUGGUUUCGGGCUCAGAUAUUUUACCUUGAGAAAAUUAGAGUGUUUAAGGCAGGCUUGCGCCGGAAUACAUUAGCAUGGAAUAAUAGAAUAGGACUUGAGUCUCCUUUGUUGGUUUGAGGGACUCUGGUAAUGAUUAAUAGGGACAGUUGGGGGCAUUAGUAUUUAAUUGUCAGAGGUGAAAUUCUCGGAUUUGUUAAAGACUAAC